AGAAAAUAGAUUGUAAAAAUGAUAGCAAGUAAAUAACAAAGUAUCCUUAUCUAAAAAAAUCAAAUAAUUAACCUUGUCUUGGUCUUGUUUCAGAGGGUGGUGGCAUAAGAGGAGUUUGACCAGUACCUAGGGUCAUAUCCCUAAGUCCUAAUGGAGUGGAUACUGAAGUAGCUAAAAUGCUUAUGGGAGAGACAGAAGUUAAGUGGCUUCCACGGGGUGUACCUGUAUCAAUUCCAGAAAAUUGUGCAGACCUAACCGUUGGUGGAUCCUCAGACAUAACAGUUGGUAUAACAGGAGUUGAUGAAAGGUUAGUAAUAUCUUGCAAAACAGUAUUGAAUGCAGAACGUAGAGGGACAGAACCAUUAGAGACAGGUGUAUUAGAACGUGGAAUACUUCUGCUAGUAUUGAUUGCCUCAUUCCUCCGCCAUCUUUUAGGUGGGGUGGAAUAGAACUCUAUGUUUUCAUUGUUAGGUGCUGUUUUUUUACUCAUUAUUCCUGUUUGGAACAAUUGCUAGAACUCUCUAAGCAAAAAUAAAUCUGGUGUUAGGAUUUAAA